UACGAAGGGGGCUAGCGUUGCUCGGAAUCACUGGGCGUAAAGCGCACGUAGGCGGAUAUUUAAGUCGGUGGUGAAAUCCUGGAGCUCAACUCCAGAACUGCCUCCGAUACUGAAUGUCUUCGAGUCCGGGAGAGGUGAGUGGAACUGCGAGUGUAGAGGUGAAAUUCGUAGAUAUUCGCAAGAACACCAGUGGCGAAGGCGGCUCACUGGCCCGGUACUGACGCUGAGGUGCGAAAGCGUGGGGAGCGAACAGG
rnacentral:rRNA from 1 species